rnacentral:rRNA from 1 species
GAUUAACGCUAGCGGCAGGCAUAAUACAUGCAAGUUGAACGGCAGCACAGGUAGCACUACUGGGUGGCGAGUGGCGCACGGGUGCGUAACACGUAUGCAACCUACCCUAUACAGGCGAAUAGCCUUUAGAAAUGAGGGCUAAUACGCCGUAGUAUUACAGAUGGGCAUCUAUUUGUAAUUAAAGAUUUAUCGGUAUAGGAUGGGCAUGCGUCCCAUUAGUUAGUUGGUAAGGUAACGGCUUACCAAGACGAUGAUGGGUAGGGGAUCUGAGAGGACUUACCCCCACACUGGUACUGAGACACGGACCAGACUCCUACGGGAGGCAGCAGUAAGGAAUAUUGGGCAAUGGCCGCGAGGCUGACCCAGCCAUGCCGCGUGCAGGAAGACGGCCUUAUGGGUUGUAAACUGCUUUUAUACGGGAAUAAUAGAGUGUACGCGUACAUUUAUGCAAGUAUCGUAUGAAUAAGCAUCGGCUAACUCCGUG